rnacentral:rRNA from 1 species
CUGGCUCAGGAUGAACGCUAGCUACAGGCUUAACACAUGCAAGUCGCGGGGCAGCAUAGUG